rnacentral:rRNA from 1 species
UCGAGAGUUUGAUCCUGGCUCAGAUUGAACGGUGGCGGAAUGCUUUACACAUGCAAGUCGAACGGUAGAGGGGGCAACCCCUCGAGAGUGGCGAACGGGUGAGUAAUAUAUCGGAACGUGCCCAGUCGUGGGGGAUAACGUAGCGAAAGUUACGCUAAUACCGCAUACGAUCUACGGAUGAAAGCGGGGGACUCGCAAGACCUCGCGCGAUUGGAGCGGCCGAUAUCAGAUUAGCUAGUUGGUGGGGUAAAGGCUCACCAAGCCAACG